GUCUUUUUGAUUAUAAUUUAAAGUCUGACCUGCCCAAUGAGUAGUUGAAUGGCCGCGGUAAUUUGACCGUGCAAAGGUAGCAUAAUCAUUAGUUUUUUAAUUGAAAGCUGGAAUGAAUGGUUGGACGAGAAAAUAACUGUCUCAAUUUAAUUGUAUAUAGAAUUUUAUUUAUAAGUAAAAAAGCUUAUAUAAUUUUGAAAGACGAGAAGACCCUAUAGAGUUUUAUAUAAUAUUAUAUUAUUUAGGUUUAGAAUGUUUACAUUUUUAAUAUAAUAUUAUAUUUUGCUGGGGCAGUAGAAAAAUUAAAUAAACUUUUUUUUGUUUUAAUACAUUGAUUUAUGUUUUAAUGAUCCAUUUCUUAUGAUUACAAGAUUAAAUUACCUUAGGGAUAACAGCGUAAUUUUUUUUUAGAGUUCUUAUCGAAAAAAGAGUUUGCGACCUCGAUGUUGGAUUAAAAUUAACUUUUGGUGCAGAAGCUAAAAGGUUAGGUCUGUUCGACCUUUAAAAUUUUACAUGAUCUGAGU
rnacentral:rRNA from 1 species